rnacentral:lncRNA from 10 species
GUUGUUUUAGCGAUCUGGUUGCAACUAAGAUUGCCAUUUGCCAGCUGACCUGUGACACAGCAGCAGUGUAUUACAUUUUCAAUGAGCAGUCUGUCUGGAGCUGCUAGUGGGAGAAACUGCUUCCUGGUUUCUAGGUAUCCUGUAAGAACAAAUUGCUGCCUCCUCCAGGUGGAAAGGGAUCAAAUAUAAUUAAUCUGUGUGUGCCACACAGUAGCUUGAUAGUUUAAUUGAGGAAUGUUGACAUAUUGAGAGCUCAGCAUUACUUUCUGCUAUCAGCAGUGACGGCAUAAGAGCUGUAUCCUAACUGCACUGCUGAAUUUGGGCUUCCUGUGGGGGCACGGCAAGUGCCCUCUUUGAGAGUGAGGAGGCUGAGAGUCUCACACCAACAGGAAUGAGUGCUUUGAAAUUAACUGGUGU